rnacentral:rRNA from 1 species
AUUGAACGCUGGCGGCAGGCCUAACACAUGCAAGUCGAACGGGAACAGGAAGAAGCUUGCUUCUUUGCUGACGAGUGGCGGACGGGUGGGUAAUGUCUGGGAAACUUCCUGAUGGAGGGGGAUAACUACUGGAAACGGUAGCUAAUACCGCAUAACGUCGCAAGACCAAAGAGGGGGACCUUCGGGCCUCUUGCCCUCGGAUGUGCCCAGAUGGGAUUAGCUUGUUGGUGGGGUAACGGCUCACCAAGGCGACGAUCCCUAGCUGGUCUGAGAGGAUGACCAGCCACACUGGAACUGAGACACGGUCCAGACUCCUACGGGAGGCAGCAGUGGGGAAUAUUGCACAAUGGGCGCAAGCCUGAUGCAGCCAUGCCGCGUGUAUGAAGAAGGCCUUCGGGUUGUAAAGUACUUUCAGCGGGGAGGAAGGGAGUAAAGUUAAUACCUUUGCUCAUUGACGUUACCCGCAGAAGAAGCACCGGCUAACUCCGUG